GCCUGGGGGGCUCAUUCAGUUAAGCAUCUGACUUCGGCUCAGGUCACGAUCUCGCAGUGCGUGGGUUCGAGCCCCACUUCGGGCU
rfam:Felis catus isolate Cinnamon breed Abyssinian chromosome X, whole genome shotgun sequence.